rnacentral:lncRNA from 1 species
GUCGUCUUUGGAAAUUAUUACAAAGUUCAGCUGGAAGUCUCCUUCUCCCUGUGGACCUUCCCCAAUUCCACUGGCUGCCCUCCUCAAGGACCCCUGUGAGAUAAAUUCAGAAAUGGCUAUCCUUGGCUUCCCUGGGGAACAAGAGUGCCUGCAGUUCUUUUCCCACUUCUUUUACUUUUCUAUUUCACUGGGCUCUCUAAAUUCAUUUCAGCUCUAGGGAUUUGGAAAGGAUUCCGUGAUGGUUAAUAUUGAGUGUCAACUUGAUUGGAUUGAAGGAUGCAAAGUAUUGUUCCUGGGUGUGUCUGUGAGGGUGUCACCAAAGGAGAUGAACAUUUGAAUCAGUGAGCUGGGAGACACAAACCCAUACUCAAUCUUGGGGGACACCAUCUAAUCAGCUGCCAGUGCAACUAGGAUAAAAUCAGGCAGAGAAAUUUGGAAAGACUAGACUGGCUGAGUCUUCUGGCCUUCAUCUUUCUCCCAUGCUAGAUGCUUCCUGACCUCGAAUAUCAGACUCCAAGUUCUUUAGCUUUUGGACUCUUGGACCUUUGGCCACAGACGGAAGGCUGCACUUUUGAAGUUUUGGGACUUGGACUGGCUUCCUUGCUCCUCAGCUUACAGAUGGCCUAUUGUGGGACUUCACCUUGUGAUUGUGAUUUCAAACCUUCUGGGUUUCUUCCCAGCGCUAAAUCCUGUCGACUGGAUUCACUAGGAUGAAUAGAGAAAGAAGUGUUACAUUUUAAGAUAAUUUCUUUUCUAAACACACAGAAAGCAUCCUCAAGACACAAGGCAGAUGCCACGUUCCAGUAUGUUUUAUGGCACAAAAAGAUCGUGGUCACCAGAUGGCUGUUGCCCUUCCAGGCUUCCAGCUCCUGUGUUCCAGACUGAAGAAGAGGAACAGAAAAAGGGUUCCACCUUGGCAUGGUCAGAAACAGCAGUUGACUAGUGAAGGAGGAAAUGAAUGAACAAAAAGGAAGAUCUCUCUUUUCUACAGCAAGCAGUAGUUUCUCACAGCAUCCAGCAUAGGUUACUCAAGACAAAAAGAGGAGUUUGGAUGAAAUGGCAUAGGGCUGACUACUGGACUAAGAAUUCUGGAUUUUAUUCUGCAAGCUGGUGGAGACACAUCAAAGGGUAUUGAA